rnacentral:rRNA from 1 species
GACGAACGCUGGCGGCGUGCCUAAUACAUGCAAGUAGAACGCUGAAGAGAGGAGCUUGUUCUUCUUGGAUGAGUUGCGAACGGGUGAGUAACGCGUAGGUAACCUGCCUUGUAGCGGGGGAUAACUAUUGGAAACGAUAGCUAAUACCGCAUAACAAUGGAUGACACAUGUCAUUUAUUUGAAAGGGGCAAUUGCUCCACUACAAGAUGGACCUGCGUUGUAUUAGCUAGUAGGUGAGGUAAUGGCUCACCUAGGCGACGAUACAUAGCCGACCUGAGAGGGUGAUCGGCCACACUGGGACUGAGACCCGGCCCAGACUCCUACGGGAGGCAGCAGUAGGGAAUCUUCGGCAAUGGGGGCAACCCUGACCGAGCAACGCCGCGUGAGUGAAGAAGGUUUUCGGAUCGUAAAGCUCUGUUGUAAGUCAAGAACGGGUGUGAGAGUGGAAAGUUCACACUGUGACGGUAGCUUACCAGAAAGGGACGGCUAACUACGUG